GAUGAAGAACGUAGCGAAAUGCGAUAAGUAGUGUGAAUUGCAGACUUUAGUGAAUCAUCGAAUCUUUGAACGCACAUUGCGCCCUCUGGUAUUCCGGGGGGCAUGCCUGUCCGAGCGUCAUUUGCAACCCUCAAGCCCGGCUUGUGUGAUGGGUGCCGUCCCCUACGGGACGCGCCCCGAAGGCAAUGGCGGCGUCGCGGUUAUCCGAUCAGCCAAAGUGUAUGGGGCUUUGUCACUCACUUUACGGCCCGGACCGGCGCCAGUCCGAAUCAAUCUUUUUUCUAAAGUUGACCUCGGAUCAGGUAGGGAUACCCGCUGAACUUAAGCAUAUCAAUAAGCGGAGGA
rnacentral:misc_RNA from 1 species